AGAAUCAACGCUGGCGGCGUGCCUAACACAUGCAAGUCGCACGAGAAAGGGACUUCGGUCCUGAGUACAGUGGCGCACGGGUGAGUAACACGUGAAUCAUCUACCUCCGAGUGGGGAAUAACUGAGAGAAAUCUUAGCUAAUACCGCAUAAUACCCACGGGUCAAAGCAGUAAUGCGCUUGGAGAGGAGUUCGCGGCAGAUUAGUUAGUUGGCGGGGUAAUGGCCCACCAAGACGAUGAUCUGUA
rnacentral:rRNA from 1 species